rnacentral:rRNA from 1 species
UACAGAGGGUGCAAACGUUGUUCGGAAUUACUGGGCGUAAAGCGCGUGUAGGCGGCCCUGCAAGUCGGAUGUGAAAUCCCACGGCUCAACCGUGGAAGUGCAUUCGAAACUGCAGGGCUAGAGUCCUGGAGAGGAAGGUGGAAUGCUUGGUGUAGAGGUGAAAUUCGUAGAUAUCGAGAGGAACACCGGUGGCGAAGGCGGCCAACUGGACGAAUACUGACGCUGAGACUCGAAAGCGUGGGGAGCAAACAGG